rnacentral:tRNA from 1 species
AAAGUCAUAGCUCAGUUGGUUGAGCGCCGCACCGGUAUCGCGAGAUCACGGGUUCAAACCCCGUUGAAGUCCUGACUUUU